rnacentral:lncRNA from 1 species
CUGACCACUUCACAGGACACUGGGCCUAUUCCUUAUUGACAAAAUGGAAGCUUCCAUAAAAAACCAACUUGGAUACCCACUGACAAUAAACUGGCAACUGGACAUCUGACUAAGCACAUCGUGAAUUAGCUUGAGUCAUAAAGGAGACAGAAGGGGACCGAGAGCCAGGCCAUUAGAUAUGGCCAACACGAAUCUGUCUCUGGAUGAAUUACUGCUGGACAAUUACGAUGGCCCCUAUUAGCAUGGCUGCUUGGAAGGGUGGCACAUUCAUGGAUUUUGGAAGUCGGCAGCCGUACUUUUGAUCUCAGCUUUAAUGAUGCACCAGCUGUGUGACUUUGGGUGUCUAUUUGACAACGACUUCCCUGUGAAAGGCUCAGGGCACUUUGAAGACAUUACCUCAUUGUUGGGAGAAUUUUAGAAGCAUCAUUUGAUCUAUUUCACAGCCAAGGAGGGUGAAGAAUACAGAAAGACAUUGGCUUGCCCAGGGUUGCAGCGAAGCAGUGAUGUAUUUGACAUCUCAGUUCUAAGCUGGGGUUCCCACUGCGAUACUCUU